rnacentral:rRNA from 1 species
AACGAACGCUGGCGGCAUGCCUAACACAUGCAAGUCGAACGAGACCUUCGGGUCUAGUGGCGCACGGGUGCGUAACGCGUGGGAAUCUGCCCUUUGCUUCGGAAUAACAGUUAGAAAUGACUGCUAAUACCGGAUGAUGUCUUCGGACCAAAGAUUUAUCGGCAAAGGAUGAGCCCGCGUAGGAUUAGGUAGUUGGUGGGGUAAAGGCCUACCAAGCCGACGAUCCUUAGCUGGUCUGAGAGGAUGAUCAGCCACACUGGGACUGAGACACGGCCCAGACUCCUACGGGAGGCAGCAGUGGGGAAUAUUGGACAAUGGGCGCAAGCCUGAUCCAGCAAUGCCGCGUGAGUGAUGAAGGCCUUCGGGUCGUAAAGCUCUUUACCAGGAUGAUAAUGACAGUACCUGGAG